GAGUUUGAUCCUGGCUCGAGAACGAACGCUGGCGGCAGGCUUAACACAUGCAAGUCGAACGCUCCGCAAGGAGAGUGGCAGACGGGUGAGUAACGCGUGGGAAUCUACCCAUCUCUGCGGAAUAGCUCUGGGAAACUGGAAUUAAUACCGCAUACGCCCUACGGGGGAAAGAUUUAUCGGGGAUGGAUGAGCCCGCGUUGGAUUAGCUAGUUGGUGGGGUAAAGGCCUACCAAGGCGACGAUCCAUAGCUGGUCUGAGAGGAUGAUCAGCCACAUUGGGACUGAGACACGGCCCAAACUCCUACGGGAGGCAGCAGUGGGGAAUAUUGGACAAUGGGCGCAAGCCUGAUCCAGCCAUGCCGCGUGAGUGAUGAGGGCCUUAGGGUUGUAAAGCUCUUUCACCGGUGAAGAUAAUGACGGUAACCGGAGAAGAAGCCCCGGCUAACUUCGUG
rnacentral:rRNA from 1 species